GAUGAAGAACGUAGCGAAAUGCGAUAAGUAAUGUGAAUUGCAGAAUUCAGUGAAUCAUCGAAUCUUUGAACGCACCUUGUACCCUUUGGCAUUCCGAAGGGUAUGCUCGUUUGAGUGUCAUUGUACUCUCACACUUCCAAUCUUUGGAUUGGGAGCGGUGGACUUGGGUGUUGCUGCUUACUGUGGCUCACCUCAAAUCGAUUCGUGCACCUCUUGGUUGGACAUAGUACGGCGUGAUAAGUGUCUUCGCCGGCACCUCAGUAGAGGGUGGCUGAUCAGGAGCUCUGUGCUUCAAACCGUCCUCGGACAACAACUGACAACUUGACCUCAAAUCGAGUAGGACUACCCGCUGAACUUAAGCAUAUCAAUAAGCGGAGGA
rnacentral:misc_RNA from 1 species